AUGUAUUAUGUUUAGCCAGUGAAUGAACAAACGCAUCAUUCACCACUUUAUUUUUAAAACAAAAUAAUUACAAAAUGAAAUGCGCGUUCAUACCUAACACAGUUUGGUUAAUUCAUGUAAUAUAUGGCAAAUGGUUGUACAUCGUUUCAUAAAUCGUAAUUUCUAUCGUAACUAUAAUGGGGGGAGCGACUAUAAACUUACAAUCUAAACUUGCCCUUUUUACGUUU